rnacentral:lncRNA from 1 species
CCCCUUUAAAAAGAUCAAUUUUCAUGCAUAUGUAUUGCAGUAAACAAUAUUGAAUAUCAUGUUAAAGAACAUUCACACUUACAACAUCAGACUCCAUUUGGAAGGUGACAACAAUCUAUCAAAACAUUGACCUGAUAUUGUACAUACCAAAAGCUUGUCUGUGGGAUCCAUAAUUACUUCUCUACACGUACCGUCACAAACUACAAAAGAAAAUAAGCGCAAAUUAUAAGUUCCACUCAGCCAAAGGAUUUAAAGUUUAAUGUAAAAAAUUUUAAUUAAAACACGUAGAAGCAUUAACAUAGAUAAUGCUUCCACCAUGAACUUGUCCAGUCUUCUCAUAAAUAAAUACAUCUCCAAUUUGGUAGUAAGAGCAAUUUUCCCCAGAACAAAUAUGAUCAGCCACCACUACAUCACUUAGGCCUUUGCUGCUUUUGCAAAACAACAUUAGCAAAACAAUCUUAAAAUUAGUGACAAGGGUUUUAUCUUUCACCUGAAAUCAACAUUAUGAGGUGGAAAUUUAUUAGCUUAAAAGUGUUAUAAAUACAUAAACACAAAAGCACACAUAUUAAAUAAUAAUGAAUUAGGAAAGUGAUUUCUGCUUAUAAUUACCAAAGAUGAAGGAAGAUUGUCACGGUGAAGUUCAUCACGAAAUUGAGGCGAAGUUUGUGUAUACAUUUCUUGCAAAAGGAUAAUGUCAAAGAAAUCUACUAACAACAACAUUCAUAUUAUAUUGAAUCCAUAAUCAAUAUCCUCUGGUAUGACUUACGAAUACAUUGAUAAAUCACCUUAGUUAAUGGCAUCAAGAUAUUAAUUAAUGAAACUGUUAAAUAAACCAUUAUGAUUAACUUAACCCAGUUAUAUCAAAUUUAGAGCCAUGAAAUUCACAAGGCUCCCGUAUUUAAAUAUAACAAGAGAUUGUUGUCCUUCAAGAGAUCCAUACAAGUGUCGAUGAGCGAAGUCACCUCGGAAGACGAGAGGCUCUUUUUGGAAGCUUACAGAAGUUGGUGGAGACUCUCCACACCCGACAUCCUCUCCUUCGUGUCCUUAGCACAUGACAGUUCUAGCGUCUCCUCUAUUUCGAUCCGCAACCAAUCAGAUCUGAAGAGCGAGCGAAUGAACGCCAAUGAACACUGAGGAAACUAAUUUUAAUCGGUGAAAAAUGAAAGAAAAUAUAAAAUAAUCGGUCCAAAGGUGAGAACAUGAAAAUAUGAAGAAAUCCUAGCAGUUGAGGGUGAAAGAUGCAAGUGAGAGGCUGAGAGAUAGAGGAAAAUGCUUAAGGCUUGAACUGUGGUUCAAAGAGAUGAUGGACAGACAGCUAGAGCCUACAAAAUAAUGAUGAACGAGAGUAGAAGAAAGGAAGAAUGACUGAAUGGAGAUUAGGGCGAACGAGACUGACGAAGAGAAGAAGGGACAAAUUGGAAGAAAUGAAAUGCUCUCCACUAACUAUGGUGAGAUUUCUGGAUCUAUUAUGAUAUUAUGACUGAUUAU